rnacentral:lncRNA from 1 species
UCUCUGUUUAUCAGGACUGUUUUGUUAGGAGCUGGUUGAGGAGUAGACCUGGCAGGAGAACGGCAGAACUGGAUUUGAACUAAAGAAUAAGAAAGAAGGGGAAGAAGAGAAGAGAACAUCGAAAAGAGAAGUGCAGAGAGAAGAGAGGAGUUUGGAACACGUAUGUCUUCCAUCUUAAGAGGAGAGAAAUUUGAGGAACAAACGUCGUUGGAAAGACAGAGAGCGACUGAAAGCUAAGUCCCCUACUGUUCCCUGAUUAAGAGGUGAUGACUACUCCACUCCACUACCAUCGUCAACUUUCUCCUGACAUGAACUGAAGCCACAAUGUCUCAUGUUUCUGCUCAUCUACUGGCACAUUGGAUGUUUCCCUUUCAAGCACUUCAAAUUCUGUCCUGCCCUGAAGUCAAUCCUCUGAACACCUCAACUCAUGCCUCAUACCCUCAUUCAAUCACUGCUGUGAUCCCUUUCCGACACGUAAAGCUCAUGAACACUUUCCACACUGUGCUUUGGUCCACUCUUCCUUACAACGACGAGCGUAACAUUAGCAACAAGAAAAAUCGCUGUGAUGUGUGUGUGUGGACUCAAGACGGACAGGAAGACACAGUACUCAUGCAUCAAUUGUAAGAAAUCAAUUUGCAACACACACAUACACACAGUAAAACUCUGUCCCUCACGCUUUU